rnacentral:rRNA from 1 species
GUAACAUGGAUUGCUUGCAAUCUGAUGACGAGUGGCGCACGGGUGCGUAACGCGUAUGCAAUCUACCUUUUACAGGAGAAUAGCCCAGAGAAAUUUGGAAUAAUGCUCCAUAAUAUCAUUUAUCAGCAUUGGUUUAUGAUUAAAGCUCCGGCGGUAAAAGAUGAGCAUGCGUUCUAUUAGCUAGUAGGUGAGGUAACGGCACACCUAGGCUACGAUAGAUAGGGGCCCUGAGAGGGGGAUCCCCCACACUGGUACUGAGACACGGACCAGACUCCUACGGGAGGCAGCAGUGAGGAAUAUUGGACAAUGGAGGAAACUCUGAUCCAGCCAUGCCGCGUGCAGGAUGACUGCCCUAUGGGUUGUAAACUGCUUUUAUAUAGGAAGAAACACACCCACGUGUGGGGGCUUGACGGUACUAUAUGAAUAAGGAUCGGCUAACUCCGUGCCAGCAGCCGCGGUAAUACGGAGGAUCCAAGCGUUAUCCGGAAUCAUUGGGUUUAAAGGGUCCGCAGGCGGCCUGUUAAGUCAGAGGUGAAAUCCUACAGCUCAACUGUAGAACUGCCUUUGAUACUGAUAGGCUUGAGUUAUUGUGAAGUGGUUAGAAUGUGUGGUGUAGCGGUGAAAUGCUUAGAUAUCACGCAGAAUACCCAUUGCGAAGGCAGAUCACUAACAAUAUACUGACGCUCAUGGACGAAAGCGUGGGGAGCGAACGGGAUUAGAUACCCCGGUAGUCCACGCCGUAAACGAUGGAUACUAACUGUUCGACCUUCGGGUUGGGUGGUCAAGCGAAAGUGAUAAGUAUCCCACCUGGG